rnacentral:tRNA from 1 species
AUGGGGUUAUGGCUCAGUGGUAGAGCGCUCACCUCGCACAUGCAAGGCCCUGGGUUCAAUCCUCAGCACCACAUA